rnacentral:rRNA from 1 species
UGGGGAAUUUUGGACAAUGGGGGAAACCCUGAUCCAGCCAUCCCGCGUGUGCGAUGAAGGCCUUCGGGUUGUAAAGCACUUUUGGCAGGAAAGAAACGUCAUGGGUUAAUACCCCGUGAAACUGACGGUACCUGCAGAAUAAGCACCGGCUAACUACGUGCCAGCAGCCGCGGUAAUACGUAGGGUGCAAGCGUUAAUCGGAAUUACUGGGCGUAAAGCUUGCGCAGGCGGUUCGGAAAGAAAGAUGUGAAAUCCCAGAGCUCAACUUUGGAACUGCAUUUUUAACUACCGGGCUAGAGUGUGUCAGAGGGAGGUGGAAUUCCGCGUGUAGCAGUGAAAUGCGUAGAUAUGCGGAGGAACACCGAUGGCGAAGGCAGCCUCCUGGGAUAACACUGACGCUCAUGCACGAAAGCGUGGGGAGCAAACAGG